UGGUAGUCCACGCCCUAAAACGAUGUCUACUAGUUGUCGGGUCUUAAUUGACUUGGUAACGCAGCUAACGCGUGAAGUAGACCGCCUGGGGAGUACGGUCGCAAGAUUAAAACUCAAAGGAAUUGACGGGGACCCGCACAAGCGGUGGACGAUGUGGAUUAAUUCGAUGCAACGCGAAAAACCUUACCUACCCUUGACAUGGAUGGAAUCCUGAAGAGAUUUGGGAGUGCUCGAAAGAGAACCAUCACACAGGUGCUGCAUGGCUGUCGUCAGCUCGUGUCGUGAGAUGUUGGGUUAAGUCCCGCAACGAGCGCAACCCUUGUCAUUAGUUGCUACGAAAGGGCACUCUAAUGAGACUGCCGGUGACAAACCGGAGGAAGGUGGGGAUGGCGUCAAGUCCUCAUGGCCCUUAUGGGUAGGGCUUCACACGUCAUACAAUGGUACAUACAGAGGGCCGCCAACCCGCGAGGGGGAGCUAAUCCCAGAAAGUGUAUCGUAGUCCGGAUUGGAGUCUGCAACUCGACUCCAUGAAGUUGGAAUCGCUAGUAAUCGCGGAUCAGCAUGUCGCGGUGAAUACGUUCCCGGGUCUUGUACACACCGCCCGUCACACCAUGGGAGCGGGUUUUACCAGAAGUGGGUAGCCUAACCGCAAGGAGGGCGCUCACCACGGUAGGAUUCGUGACUGGGGUGAAGUCGUAACAAGGUAGCCGUAAAGGGCAA
rnacentral:rRNA from 2 species